rnacentral:snRNA from 1 species
UGUCCUCCAUAGGAGGUCUAUAUUGAGCAGAUUCUUUUUGGUAUUGGGUGGUGGAACCGGAGCGUGCUCCAUCCACUCCAUGCAUUGACCCGGUAUUGCAGUGCUUCCAGGACCGGUGC